UACUUGUGGCGACCGGCGCACGGGUGCGUAACGCGUAUGCAACCUACCUUUAACAGGGGCAUAACACUGAGAAAUUGGUACUAAUUCCCCAUAACAUUCGAGAAGGCAUCUUCUUGGGUUAAAAACUCCGGUGGUUAAAGAUGGGCAUGCGUUGUAUUAGCUAGUUGGUGAGGUAACGGCUCACCAAGGCAACGAUACAUAGGGGGACUGAGAGGUUAACCCCCCACAUUGGUACUGAGACACGGACCAA
rnacentral:rRNA from 1 species